ACCAGCUGUGUACCUCUCUGGACUGAUGACAGAACCCUCCUUGCAAGUUGGCUUGUGAGCUCAAGCCUAUCAAAUACCUACUGAAAAGGCCCUGUGACACUGAUCAUCUCUACAUGGCAGUUUCUCUUCUCACUCACAGUGGCCACACUUGCAGACUUCCAUUGUGGACAGAUGCCUAUGUCAACGAUGCCGCUGCCAUUUCUGCUUGUUGUUCUGCCCCACGAAUGAGACUGAUGUUGCCACCACAGCCUGAUGUCCCUGUCCAUAUCCCCGUCUCUAAACGGGUGGCCAUUCCCAGUGCAUUGCAUCUUUUAAUACUUUUUCUGCUUUGGCUUCUUCUUUCAAGACGUGAGCAUUCAUCUGUGAAGCUGUUUUGAAGCUCAGGAUCCAUCCCUCAUAAUCACCUUGACUCAUGGACUAAGAACAGCAUUGCCUUUCUGAGACACAUCAGCCAUGCUCCUAGAUUUCCUUCACACCCUGUUAUUUAGAAACUAUCUUACUUAUCUGAGCCAUGGUCUUGGUUCAGGCCAUUUACAAAAGAAUGGGUUGUUCUCAACUUGCCAUUUAUAAAUUUCAGGUAAAUUCUGAAAAUUGUCAGACCAGUUAUUUAGAAUUUGGGCCUUAUAUCCCAUAGCUACAAAAUCACACAUAAUGGCAAAGCUCCCAGGCCAGCCCACAAAAGCCUACUUAUCCAGAAUUGAAGCAAAAAAGCCCCACAGUCUAACCACGAGUACCAGUGGGUUUCCACUGGAAUGUGUCUUAUACCCACUGGGAAGCCGAGGAGGCAGGGUGAAAUGAAUCCCGAGGUUACAGCUAUUUCAUUGUGGGGAUUCUGCAGCUGGGUAUCAGUAAACCAGGCCCUCGAGAGUGGAGAUGUUCACUGAGUGAUUUAUCAAGUCCUGGGACGUUCCGAAGGAAUUUGUAUAACUAUAAUUUAGUUCCACAGACCUAAAGCUUUGAUUUAAUACCUUCUACCUAAGCACUGUAAUGUUUGUGUUCUUGGGAUAGGGCUGAAAAUCCUAAAUCAGAGAGGACGCAGGCUGGGUUCAGGUGGCACUGGUGUCUGGAGACGGGCUGUGGACGGGCACACGUGUAGUAGCUGCGGU